GACGAACGCUGGCGGCGUGCUUAACACAUGCAAGUCGAACGGAAAGGCCCUGCUUGCAGGGUGCUCGAGUGGCGAACGGGUGAGUAACACGUGGGUGAUCUGCCCCUUACUUUGGGAUAAGCCUGGGAAACUGGGUCUAAUACUGGAUAGGACCAUGCUGUAGGUGGUGUGGUGGAAAGAUUAGUUUCGGUAAGGGAUGAGCUCGCGGCCUAUCAGCUUGUUGGUGGGGUAAUGGCCUACCAAGGCGUCGACGGGUAGCCGGCCUGAGAGGGUGGACGGCCACAUUGGGACUGAGACACGGCCCAGACGCCUACGGGAGGCAGCAGUGGGGAAUAUUGCACAAUGGGCGCAAGCCUGAUGCAGCGACGCCGCGUGGGGGAUGACGGCCUUCGGGUUGUAAACUCCUUUCAGCCAUGACGAAGCCCUUGUGGUGACGGUAGUGGUAGAAGAAGCACCGGCUAACUACGUG
rnacentral:rRNA from 1 species